rnacentral:lncRNA from 1 species
AAUAAAAAAAAAAAAAAAAAAAAAAAAAAAAAAAAAAAAAAAAGCUGUAAAAAACAAAAGUAACGUAUGAAAAAAAAAAAAAAAAAGAAUGCUGCCACAGAAUUCAACAAAAUACAUCACAAAAGUAAAAUGACAGAAAUGUAUCACUUCUUAUUCUCCCAUUAUCUCAUUUAAACCCUUUCAUCUAUCAAAUUUCACCUCUUUCAUCUCAAGUUACUACAGCCACAAAUCAAAGAUAGUUUUAUUUAAUUUAAGUUUUACUUAGAUUGGAAGUUUGAUGCUUAUCUAUUAAUAAAAAUAUCUCUACUUAACUAAAUUAUAUUUGUUAUAUUUAUUAACUUCUAAUUGAAAACUAAAAUGUGUGAAAUCAUUUGAUGAUUUUUCGAGAUUUGAAAUUUCCAAUUCUACAUAUUUAACGUUUUCCUAUGUAUAUAUAAUCGGUUGAUAUAAUAAUACUAUGAUUAAUGAAAUUCUGUGUAUAAUUUUCUACAUCCAAUUUUAUCAACUACGCAUUAUUUUUUAUACUAUAGACAUUAUCUCUUGGAAAAAAAUCAUAGAAGAAAGUAAGUUUACAGGAGAUAAAUAUCAAUACUGUCAAACAUUGAAUGUCAACAAUACAAACAAAAUAGUUUGUG